rnacentral:lncRNA from 1 species
UUGUUGAACAAUGAACAAAAAAGUAAGAUUUAUUAUUUUAGCAAAUGCUGCAUACAAAUGAUGCUAUUAAAAUCUAAAUGCUAGCGUAUAUUAUGGUGAAAACUAUUUCCCAAUCCCCCCCCCCCAAAAUAAAAUUAUAAUUUACAGUUAUUAGUACAAUUAUUAUUGAACUGAAUGGUUACAUGAAAAUUAUUUAACAGCUGCAUUAGUAAAUGUAAAAGGAUAAAUGUUUCAAAAAAGCUAUUGUGGGUUUUCAUUUUUGAUGCGUUUUGUUAUUUGAUUUUGCCAUGUGAUUAUGGACUUUCCGAAUUGAUUUUCCUCUGAGUUCAGUAUUUUUUGAUUUUUACCUUAAAAGUAUGGUAAAGCUUUCAAAACAUGUCACUGUCUCAAUGUCAGAGAGAUUGAAGAAUUAUGUUUAGAUUUCCUCAAUUUGGUUUAUAUGCUAUAACUUUGAUAUUUUUAAGAGUUUCAAAAAUCUUAUCAGUUUACAAUCUUAAAUGUAAACCCAAUCUUUACAAAAAGAUAACUAUUAAAGAUAAUUCUAACUAAUAAGAAAUAUUUAACUGAGGUAUUUGUUAAUGCUGAUGAAACAUUUAGGCAUGAAACAUGUGUAAUAUAAAGUAUAAUUAAGAGCUGGCAUUGACAUUUUGCAAAAGUUAUUCCUCUAAUCAUUUGUAAACUAGAUGUGUCUAUAUUACACCAGGCCUUG